ensembl:ncRNA mir-184 mir-184 stem loop
GGUUGGCCGGUGCAUUCGUACCCUUAUCAUUCUCUCGCCCCGUGUGCACUUAAAGACAACUGGACGGAGAACUGAUAAGGGCUCGUAUCACCAAUUCAUC